rnacentral:rRNA from 1 species
ACUACGGGAGGCAGCAGUGGGGGAUAUUGGACAAUGGGGGGAACCCUGAUCCAGCGACGCCGCGUGAGUGAAGAAGUAUUUCGGUAUGUAAAGCUCUGUCAGCAGGGAAGAAAGAAAUGACGGUACCUGACCAAGAAGCCCCGGCUAACUACGUGCCAGCAGCCGCGGUAAUACGUAGGGGGAAAGCGUUAUCCGGAAUUACUGGGUGUAAAGGGAGCGUAGACGGUUAAGUAAGUCUGGAGUGAAAGGCCGGGGCCCAACCCCGGGACUGCUCUGGAAACUAUUGAACUUGAGUGCAGGAGAGGUAAGCGGAAUUCCUAGUGUAGCGGUGAAAUGCGUAGAUAUUAGGAGGAACACCAGGGGCGAAGGCGGCUUACUGGACUGUAACUGACGUUGAGGCUCGAAAGCGUGGGGAGCAAACAGGAUUAGAUACCCGUGUAGUC